rnacentral:rRNA from 1 species
AAAAUACAACUAAAUAAGUUAAAACUUUCAACAACGGAUCUCUUGGUUCUGGCAUCGAUGAAGAACGCAGCGAAAUGCGAUAAGUAAUGUGAAUUGCAGAAUUUAGUGAAUCAUCGAAUCUUUGAACGCACAUUGCGCCCAUUAGUAUUCUAAUGGGCAUGCCUGUUCGAGCGUCAUUUCAACCCUUAAGCCUCUGUUGCUUAGUGUUGGGGGCCUACAGCGAUGUAGCCCCUGAAAGUUAGUGGCGGAGUCGGUAUCACACUCUAGACGUAGUAAAUAUUUUAUCUCGCCUAUGGUUGUACCGGUCCCCU